UAAAAGUCAACUGUUUUUGCAUCACUUUU
rnacentral:piRNA from 1 species